UACUAGAGUAGCACUCGCAUAUCAAUAAGCGGAGGAAAAGAAACUAACAAGGAUUCCCCUAGUAACGGCGAGUGAAGCGGGAAGAGCUCAAAUUUGAAAUUUUAAAGGUUUUCCCUUGACGAAUUGUAGUUUAAAGAAGGUGUUUUCUGUUGAGGUUUUGGUAAAAGUUCUUUGGAAUAGGACAUCAUAGGAGGGUGAGAAUCCCGUAUUUGACCUUUACUUUCAACUUUGUGAUACACUUUCAAAGAGUCGGAUUGUUUGGGAAUGCAGUCCAAAAUGGGUGGUAAAUUUCAUCUAAAGCUAAAUAUUGGCGAGAGACCGAUAGCGAACAAGUACCGUGAGGGAAAGAUGAAAAGAACUUUGAAAAGAGAGUUAAACAGUACGUGAAAUUGUCAAAAGGGGAAGCGUUUGACACCAGUGUUGUUUUUCUGAAAAUCAAUUAAAGAACUGUUUAUGCUAAGUUGUUUAGACUUUAUCAGCUAUCUGCUUAGUUUUGAGCUUUUCUUUAAUGCACUUUUCAGUUAACAAGUCAACAUCAAUUUCUUUUGCUAGUAAAAAAGCUUGAGGAAGGUGGCUUGAGAUUCGGCUUAAGUGUUUAUAGCCUCUUGCCUAUGCAGUCGGAGAGAUUGAGGUCUGCAGCGUAGAUCCUUCGGGGCUAAAUGCAUUUGUGCUAAGUUAUAGCAUUUUAUAGACAACUUGUUGACUAUGAUUUGUCUUGUAGCUUACUCGCUUAUGUUAUUUUACCUACGCUUAGGAUGUUGAACUACUGAGACAUAGA
rnacentral:rRNA from 1 species